AUUGAACGCUGGCGGCAGGCCUAACACAUGCAAGUCGAGCGGAAACGAGUUAUCUGAACCUUCGGGGAACGAUAACGGCGUCGAGCGGCGGACGGGUGAGUAAUGCCUAGGAAAUUGCCCUGAUGUGGGGAUAACCAUUGGAAACGAUGGCUAAUACCGCAUAAUGCCUACGGGCCAAAGAGGGGGGACCUUCGGGCCUCUCGCGUCAGGAUAUGCCUAGGUGGGAUUAGCUAGUUGGUGAGGUAAUGGCUCACCAAGGCGACGAUCCCUAGCUGGUCUGAGAGGAUGAUCAGCCACACUGGAACUGAGACACGGUCCAGACUCCUACGGGAGGCAGCAGUGGGGAAUAUUGCAACAAUGGCGCAAGCCUGAUGCAGCCAUGCCGCGUGUGUGAGAAGCCUUCGGUUGUAAAGCACUUCAGUCGUGAGGAAGGUAGUGUAGUUAAUAGCUGC
rnacentral:rRNA from 1 species